rnacentral:rRNA from 1 species
GAGUUUGAUUCUGGCUCAGGACGAACGCUGGCGGCGUGCUUAACACAUGCAAGUCGAGCGGGGUCCAUCCUGUCGCAAGACAGGGGAAGACCUAGCGGCGAACGGGUGAGUAACACGUGAGGAACCUGCCCCGAAGACCGGGAUAACACCGGGAAACCGGUGCUAAUACCGGAUGCCCUCAGAGAGUCGCAUGGCUCAUUGAGGAAAUGGAUUCCGCUUCGGGAGGGCCUCGCGGCCUAUCAGCUUGUUGGUGGGGUAACGGCCCACCAAGGCUCCGACGGGUCGCUGGUCUGAGAGGACGACCAGCCACACUGGGACUGAGACACGGCCCAGACUCCUACGGGAGGCAGCAGUGGGGAAUCUUGCGCAAUGGGCGAAAGCCUGACGCAGCAACGCCGCGUGGGGGACGAAGGCCUUCGGGUUGUAAACCCCUUUCAGCAGGGACGAACAUGACGGUACCUGCAGAAGAAGCCCCGGCCAACUACGUGCCAGCAGCCGCGGUAAUACGUAGGGGGCGAGCGUUGUCCGGAUUUAUUGGGCGUAAAGAGCUCGUAGCGGUUUGGCAAGUCGGGUGUGAAAACUCCGGGCUCAACUCGGAGACGCCACUCGAUACUGCCAUGACUCGAGUCCGGUAGG